rnacentral:rRNA from 1 species
AUUGAACGCUGGCGGCAGGCUUAACACAUGCAAGUCGAGCGAGCGGCGGACGGGUGAGUAAUGUCUGGGAAACUGCCUGAUGGAGGGGGAUCACUACUGGAAACGGUAGCUAAUACCGCAUACCAUCAGAUGUGCCCAGAUGGGAUUAGCUAGUAGGUGGGGUAAUGUCUCACCUAGGCGACGAUCCCUAGCUGGUCUGAGAGGAUGACAAGACACACUGUAACUGAGACACGGUCCAGACUCCUACGGGAGGCAGAAGUGGGGAAUAUUGGACAAUGGGCGCAAUCCUUAUGCAGCCAUGCCGCGUGUGUGAAGAAGGCCGUCGGGUUGUAAAGCACUUUCAGCGAGGAGGCGUGACUCGCAGAAGAAGCACCGGCUAAAUCCGUGCCAGCAGCCGCGGUAAUAC